ACUCCUACGGGAGGCAGCAGUGGGGAAUAUUGCACAAUGGGGGAAAGCCCUCGAUGCAGCCAUGCCGCGUGUGUGAAGAAGGCCUUCGGGUUGUAAAGCACUUUCAGCGAGGAGGAAAGGGUGUAAGUUAAUACCUUACAUCUGUGACGUUACUCGCAGAAGAAGCACCGGCUAACUCCGUGCCAGCAGCCGCGGUAAUACGGAGGGUGCGAGCGUUAAUCGGAAUUACUGGGCGUAAAGCGUGCGCAGGCGGUUUGUUAAGCGAGAUGUGAAAG
rnacentral:rRNA from 1 species